UGAUCUUGUCCAUAAGAACUCGGAUUCUUUCUUUUUUUUCCCAUGUAGUUAACUAAAAAAAGCUCUUUUGUCCUUUCAGUGAAACAACUGGAUUGAGAAAUUGCAAUAUUCAAACUCAUUAGCUUUUAUCUUGGCCAUUUGUUUCAUAAACUCAUAGUCGCCUAUUAAAGCUGAUGUUGUAAGACCAACCCAUUUCAGACUUGAAAAUUUUACUGAGAUAUUUACGUCAGAACUGAAAUAAUGCACAUGACUUUGACUGGACUCAUGGUUAGAACUGAAAUGUCUUUCCCUGGUAAUGCAUUCUUGGGUUAUGAGGAAAUAAAUUGAAUUUGAACAUUUCAAAUACAUACAUAAGCUGUUUUCAAAUUACUUGCUAAACUUUAUUCUAGGUUAAUAUUGCAGGUCCAUGAAUGAAAUAUUUUUAUGUUGGAAAUGGAAUAAAGUAUCUUGUUGUAGUGGCAAUGGCAUUUUCUUAAUCCUCAAUGAUUUGCACGCGAGGACAUCAUGCAAUUGUGCUUCUUUUAAUUUGGUUGCAUUUGUAUUUCCUCCCACACUGAAAAGUAUUUUUGUUAUCUAAUGUUUUAAAUCAUCUUUUUAUUAUAUAAUGUAGGAAGAAGAAAUGACCAAAAUAGAGCAUGAGAAAAAAUCCAUGUUACUUCUAAAACAACAAGAAGAAAACCUUGACUGGACUAAGACUGAAAAAACUCGACUGAGUGUCGAGGGUUUGGAAGCUGAUAUCAGACGCCUGCAGCAUUCAAUAAGUAAUACUUGUUCAUCUAUAUUGGAACUCAUUGAUGUGGAGCUGUACCCUCAACUUGUUACAUUAACUUCCGGGUGAUAAUACAGACUCCUAUAGUAUGCUAUUGUUUAUUGUUGGCACUUGGCAUAUCAAUAAUGUAGGACAAGUUAGAUGAUUUUCACAUGUUCAAGAAGUGAUUAUAUUGAAGUUCUUCACAAAACCUGUUUAUCAUCUCUUGAAGUCAUUAUGAAAUCGAUUGCUAUAAUAAUCUCAUAUUAUGAUGGUAACAGCAUCAUUCUUUGGUCAAAUGGUUUAUAUAGCACUUAAGAAGACAGCUCUUCCAUUUUGUAUGUGAAUGGGAUUUGAGGCUUUGUACCCAGGUCUCUAGUGACACUGUCAAAUGAUUUUUAGAGUUAAGAAACUAGCAUCAAAUUUAUGCUAGUAACUUUCCCCAUUCCUUAAACCUUUGUCACCAUCUUAUGAUCGUGUGAUUAUUUCAUAUUGAAGAAAAGUGAUUUCCCAUCAAAUUUCUAAUGGGAUCACAAAACUGUACAUAUUCUCUAUAGCAUUUGUUUGUCUGGCCCAUGGAUUGAAAUGUUUCUGUCCAAAUUUCUUUUGGAUUUAUCAGGGUAAAAAGGGUAUGAUCUCAUAAAACAACUUAUAAAAUAGGAAAUUAAGGACUGCACAACUUAUAGGAGAACAAUUUAUUCCAUACCACAAUGGAUAUAUUUUUGCUUCUUUCUUCUCUACUGCUAAAUUUCUGCCCUUGGGUGAUUUCUAGUCAGGUGUUAGGUUUCCUUUAGUAUCUUCCAUAUUUGUAAAGUGUCUCAAAUUGAUCUUAAUUAUUCUAUAUUUUGUCUUCUUUGUUUUGCUUGAUUGCUUUUAUAGGCUGAAAAAUAUGUGGAGAACUAUGUAUGAAUGCCAUCAAGUUCAGAACCAUAUAUCUCUGCAA
rnacentral:misc_RNA from 1 species